GGCCAGACUCCUACGGGAGGCAGCAGUCGGGAAUAUUGCGCAAUGGCGGAAACUCUGACGCAGUGACGCCGCGUAUAGGAAGAAGGUUUUCGGAUUGUAAACUAUUGUCGUUAGGGAAGAUAAAAGACUGUACCUAAGGAGGAAGCCCCGGCUAACUAUGUGCCAGCAGCCGCGGUAAAACGUAGGGGGCGAGCGUUGUCCGGAAUGACUGGGCGUAAAGGGUGCGUAGGCGGCAUAAUAAGUUAGAAGUGAAAGACCCAGAGCUUAACUCGGGUGCUGCUUCUAAGACUGUUGAGCUUGAGUGCGGGAGAGGUUAAUGGAAUUCCUAGUGUAGCGGUGGAAUGCGUAGAUAUUAGGAGGAACACCAGAGGCGAAGGCGAUUAACUGGACCGUAACUGACGCUGAGGCACGAAAGUGUGGGUAGCAAACAGGAUUAGAUACCCGCGUACA
rnacentral:rRNA from 1 species